AUUGAACGCUGGCGGCAGGCCUAACACAUGCAAGUCGAACGAGUGGCGGACGGGUGAGUAAUGUAUGGGAAACUGCCUGAUGGAGGGGGAUAACUACUGGAAACGGUAGCUAAUACCGCAUACCAUCGGAUGUGCCCAUAUGGGAUUAGCUAGUUGGUGGGGUAAAGGCUCACCAAGGGGACGAUCCCUAGCUGGUCUGAGAGGAUGAUCAGCCACACUGGAACUGAGACACGGCCCAGACUCCUACGGGAGGCAGCAGUGGGGAAUAUUGCACAAUGGGCGCAAGCCUGAUGCAGCCAUGCCGCGUGUAUGAAGAAGGCCUUAGGGUUGUAAAGUACUUUCAGCGGGGAGGCGUUACCCGCAGAAGAAGCACCGGCUAACUCCGUGCCAGCAGCCGCGGUAAUUC
rnacentral:rRNA from 1 species